UUGAAAAAAAAGCAAACCUCUCGAGAGGGUGGGACGCAAAACCUCCGGCCCGAUUAUGACGGGUAGCGGGGUUGCUCAA
rnacentral:ncRNA from 1 species